AUGAUCUCUGUUGAUAGGGCCCUUCUUGACUUAGGGCGCCUUGCUUUCCGUCGGCCAUUUGGGCCGGCGGAAUCCGCCGCCUGGCGUGAGUUGCUUGACUGCGUUGCUCUGCAUGAGCCGGUGGUGGAUGGGGAUCAGGAUCUUGUGCGCUGGCACCUGGAGCCGUCGGGCCAGUUCUCUACCAAAUCGCUAUACUUGGCCAUUGCCCCCUCCUCCGCUCCCCUCCCCGUAUCGUUGGUGUGGUCCGUCCGCGUCCCCCUGAAGAUUCGCAUCUUCAUGUGGCAGUGGAUCCAUGGACGGAUCCCGUCCGGUGUGGAGGUCCGCAAGCGUAAUGGCCCGGGCACUGGUAUCUGCCCCCUCUGUGCUGUUCUCGAGGACUCCAACCACAUCUUCUUCGCCUGCGUCUCCGCCCGGUUCCUCUGGAGCUGCUUUCGCGAGAUUGUCGGUGGGAGUUGGUGCCACACCAAUUUCCCGGACUUAUUUGCUGAACUCCAAUUGUCCCCUUUGUCCUCUCGCCACAUUAGGUGGCUCGAGGUUGGGGUCCUUGCCUGGACGCUUUGGACCGUUCGCAAUAAGCUAGUGAUCCAGCGUACUCCUCUUCGUCGCGCUACUGAUGCUCUCUACAAAUUCUCGGGUUUCUUGCAGCUUUGGCGGCCGCUUAGCCGCCCCCUGGAUCGGGACACCAUCUCUGCCUUCAUCGCCGAUCUCCGCUCGAUGGCCGUCCGCCUGUCGCCCCCGCCGCCGCCGCCUCCGCCGGAGCCUGACUAG
rnacentral:rRNA from 1 species